rnacentral:rRNA from 1 species
CCUACGGGCGGCUGCAGUGGGGAAUAUUGCACAAUGGGCGCAAGCCUGAUGCAGCCAUGCCGCGUGUGUGAAGAAGGCCUUCGGGUUGUAAAGCACUUUCAGCGGGGAGGAAGGCGUUAAGGUUAAUAACCUUGGCGAUUGACGUUACCCGCAGAAGAAGCACCGGCUAACUCCGUGCCAGCAGCCGCGGUAAUACGGAGGGUGCAAGCGUUAAUCGGAAUUACUGGGCGUAAAGCGCACGCAGACGGUCUGUCAAGUCGGAUGUGAAAUCCCCGGGCUCAACCUGGGAACUGCAUUCGAAACUGGCAGGCUAGAGUCUUGUAGAGGGGGGUAGAAUUCCAGGUGUAGCGGUGAAAUGCGUAGAGAUCUGGAGGAAUACCGGUGGCGAAGGCGGCCCCCUGGACAAAGACUGACGCUCAGGUGCGAAAGCGUGGGGAGCAAACAGGAUUAGAUACCGGGUAGUC